rnacentral:lncRNA from 10 species
GCCUUUUGUUAUUUGCACUCGCAUUGUGUUGUUUGUCUCUGAAGCCGCCUCAUGACCAGCAAAGGGAUUUCACCUCGUCCUUGAGAGCAACACGGGGAGCGCGAGCGAGCGGGCGAGCGAGAGACGGGGGGAGAGAGAGGGACACGCGCGCGCACACACACACACACCGGCACACACGCACACACACAGACACACACACACAGAGUGAAAAAGGCGAGCCACCAAAACCCAUCUCCAGUCUCCUCCCGGGGGCCCCCAGCCCGCCUCUGUGCCACUUUGCAUCCCACGCCGGAGGAGGCAUUAACGAGACCGGGCUUUUUAAACGGUCCAAGGUGUAGAGCCAUACUUCAGGAGGAUCCUCAGAAGUUUUGGACAAGCCUCCCCAAAUGUGGCAGGUGCUGUGCUGGCCAUUGGUGACCCAAAGAUGAUGAAAAAUAUGUUCCUGCCCACAAGGAGUUAGCGACCUACUGGGGUUUUUCUCAGAAAUUACGUACUCUACGGCUGCCCAUCCUAUUCAAGAAUGAGGCAAUAGAAAAGCAUUUGCAAAAGUUAGUUACAAAUGUGGGGCUUGACGUUGAGCUAAAAAUAGCAGCUUUCCUCUUGCUGAUGACAUGAUUCCUGUUUGAAUCUGUUGACAAGAUUCUGAAAGCUGAACAGAGAAUUCUGGCACUGCACUGGGUAGGAAAAAGCAUUUCAAGAAAUAGAUAAUAUCAAGGACAUCAGGACACCGGGAGUGGGAGAGAUUGGACUGGGAGACUCAGCAGGU